UUGUUCAGUGUUUUUUUAAUAUAUAUUUUGACAGUUUCACACAUAUAUACACAAUGUGCCUCGAUCAUCUCAGCCCCCAGCUCAUUCUUCCCGCCCCCUGCCCUCCAUGGCCUCUCCCAACUGCCUUCUGUGUGUAUGUAAGCUUUGUAUCCCAGAAAGGACGUUAGUACUACCUCCUACAUUGUUUAUUGAUAUUGCUUGAUCUGCAGGGACUACGGGGUUUGGUUUUUACCUCUUGGGUUGAAAACUUUACGUUUUCAUUUAUUUUACAACCUUUCCUUUUGGCCUAUAUUUUUUGAAGUAUAUCUUUGACCAACAUUCUGUAAAAUUUGAAGUUUAUAUUUUUAUUGUUUAAUUUCUAAGUAGCUAUUAGGGGGACAAGAGCUAAACAAGCCACUUUUCUUUAGGGAUGUGGUUGCUGGUAGGUAGCCAAAACCUUAGUGUAUGGCUCAGACACAGGAGAAAUUGGAACCAGUGGCAUAUUAAUUUUAAAUAGAAACCAUGAAUUCAGGAAUAAAAUGGUUGGAGGUCCUGGGAGGGGGUUGUUAACAGGAGGGAGAAGAGGUAAAUAUUAUCCAAUAUACAUGUGUAAACUCUGCAAAGAAAAACAUUGUUAUAAAACAAAGAUAAGAGUUCCCUCAUCACUGGGAAAGAGUAAAGAUCACUGAGGUUCGAUGGCCAGUCAUUCUCACCUAAUCCGUGAGCUCUAGGUUCACUGAGAGACCCUGUCUCAAAACAAAAACCUCACAAAAACGCAGUGAAAUGAUGAAUACACCUAGAUUAACCCUUAGCUUCUAAGUGCAUGAGUACACAUCUAUAUACACAACCUCCUCCCCAAGAGAAAAGUCAAGUCUAGUCACAGAGAAAGACAGGAGAUAGUGUGUGAAAUAGAGACAGGAGAUGGGGCAGUGAGAGCUGACCAUAAUUCGAGGCUGGGAAACUCCUGGGUAGGCGCGGAAACACCAAGAGGUACUUGAAGGUUGAGGCAGACUAUACACACCACAGUCGAUGCACUAGGAGUAGGGGUGGGGGGCAAAGGCAAGUGGCACUCUGUAAAUUUGAGAGGACCCUUACCUACAGAGCAAGGAGUAAGUAAGAUUAGGUCUGAAAAAACAAACAAACAAACAACAACAAAAAAAAACCCAAAACCAAACACUUCCCCCCCCAAUCCUGAAUUUGAUAGAAAGCAACGAUACAGCGUUUUCAGUCUCUAUGCGCUCAGUUUUAGUUCCUUAAUCUAAGUCUGGGAGGAUGCUCGUGCCAAAUGUUCUCUCUGCCUUUUUCUGAGUUCACACUUAAAAGAGUCGCUUCUGGUGAGUGAUCCCCACACCCCUGCCCAACUCUAGGGUAGAAGAACUCCCUCCUUUAUUCCCCAUGAGCGUCCUCUUGACCCUGCAUCCCAGUAUGGCUUCUCCAGGAGGAGAAUUAACGAGCAAUUAACGAGUCUGUGGUUAAGUGGGGUGAUCUGCUUGGGAGUCAUGUCUUCUAAAAUAACAGGACAAGGGGGCUGAGAAGUGUGGGGAAGCGGCCCUCGGUGUUCGAAAAAGCAUCAGAACUCCAGGUUGAGGAAGAGACUCCAGGAGGGUCACACAGUGAGGGGACCAUUGUGAAGGGUAUGGGUAGAGUCUAGUCAGGCCAUCCCUUCUAAUAUUAUUAUAGUGUAUAAGGAUUCUCCCCCACCCCCACCCCUCAUCAAGUCCCUAGGCUGCAUGUAAAUCUACCUGAUUGUACUAUUCCUGUCCUCCUGCCCAAGCCUCAUAAGUCCCAACGCUGGUGGAAACAACUGCUCCAACAUACUGGCCUGGUGGUCCCACCUUCUAUUUCUGGUGAGGGUACUGCUGCCCUCAUUGGCCCAGCUGAAGUGAUUGACGUGUGAAUAGCUCAAUGAACUAUGACUCUUAGAAGCACCCACCCCACCCUCCACCCUGUGGCAGUUAUAGACUGAUGCUCUCCUCGCGAGACUUCAGAGUAACGAGGUCUUUGGGAAGAAUCUCUCCAACCGUUUUUCGUUUUUGUUUUUUUCUUUCCAAAACUCAAAGCCAAGUAUCUUUAGUAAAAGGUGGAGGAUAUUUUAGUCUCCCCCAAAACGAACACACGGUAGCUUAAAAGUACAAAUGACCUCUCAUAAGGGAUUACAGGAUGUCAUAUUGAAUGAGCUACCUAAGAUAUUGGACAUGGAGUGACAUGGAGCCUGAUGGAAUAUGGCCGGGGCGAAUCACACAGCCACAGUCAUCUAUUGUCCCACCACCCUGCACACACUCCCAUUGGACAUGAGUGUUAUGAGAGGCGCAUCACAUCAACAGAAUUUCCCCAUGGCUUCUGGUUCUUAGUCAUCCAAUCAAAACAGGUGACUUGAGUGUGGGAUGACACUGUGAUGGGGCAACCACCUGGACAGAUGUCUCAACACCUGUUGUCUUGUUGUUGGUAAAACCUCCUGGGAAAGC